CAGCAACAUCACUGACUGUUGUUAUUAUAUUAUUAAUAGUAAGUCUCAUAAUAGCGGUUUGUUUUGUUAUUAUAUACAAAAGGAAGUUAAACAGGUUUGCCUCAUUACAACAACAACAACAACAAGAGGUACCUACUGCACCUAAUGAAGCAUAUCAGUUUAACACUUUAAUGAUUACUAAUCCUAAUCCUACUUAUGAAGAAAUAAGAGGAAACAGAGCAGGAGCAGAUAACAUGUGAAUCAUUUGUUUCACAUUGAAGCAAUUUUUUUAACUUUUUCAAUUUAUUUGUUUUUCACAUGAAUCAAGUUUUACAACACAUUUU